CAGCAAGCACCAGCUCAUAUUCUAAAACUAAAAAGAUGAAGAGAAGAUUACUAUGGCUCCUGCACAAGGGUGAUAUGCUUAUUCUGUAACUGUGUCGUACACAA
rnacentral:snRNA from 1 species